rnacentral:hammerhead_ribozyme from 1 species
AUCCAACUAAUGAGUCCCAAAUAGGACGAAGUGACGCACAUCCUGGAU